UCCAAUUAGAACUGCAACAGUUAGUCGAUUGGUCGAUUAGAAAUCGACUACUAAAAUUAAUCGCCAACUAUUUUGAUAAUCGAUUAAUCGAUGGAAGUGGUUUUUAUGAAAAAAAAAAAUCUAAAUUGUCUGAUUUGAGCUUCUUGAAAGUCAAUAUUUUCUGGUUUCUUUGCUCCUCUAUGACAGUAAACGGAAUAUCUUUGGUGUUUGGACAAAACAAAACGAUCGACAUCUUUCACCAUUUUAUGGACCAAACAACUAAUUGAUUUAUUUGAGAAAAAAUAACCGACAGAUUAAUCGAUAAUGAACAUGAUCAUUAGUUGCAGCCCUGGAUCCAACGGUUGGAUCCUUCUGGGCCCAAUCCCGGGAUUCAUUGCACCCGUGACAACUCCCUUCUCAAUAUGGCGGCAGACACCGAUGACAAAACAGUGACCGAGCAGUAGGUUCUGAAAGAUUAGCGAUUUAAACGCUCCGCCGUGGUGCUGUUUCAACGACCUCUCCUGACUCUGCCAAGAUGCUUCAUCAUUAACUGUCACCUGAAAAGCCCCCAGGUCUGUCUGCUGCAAACCACACCAGAAGGAGACCCAAGAAAAUGCCGUCAUCGUACAUCCGUCCUCAUUAAGAUAAUAACUGAGGAAAAUAAAAAUAUUCGGGCCAUUAACAGGGAUUACCAGAUUGCAGUGCAGAUUACACUAUUACUUUGCAUGUAGAAACUGCAUUAGCCACCAGUGUGUUGUCAAAGGCAUGUCAUCAAAAAUACCUGGGGAUUACAGAUCGUUGACGACUCUUUAUUACUGUCUGUUUCACAUUUCCCCGAGUGAAUGUAGUGUUCAAAGUGAAGACGAAUACAAAUAAAGUCAUCAAUCAAUGACAAAAACAACACAAAGGAUAAUGGAUUAUUGAUGCUGCAGAGUAUUUGCAGGGAAGUUUGUAAUUAUCAUUUUCUGACUUCGGACUUGUUCAUAAACUGGCACUCUGA